AGCACUAUAUCUAGUAUUCCAAUCAGAAGUACUGUCUUUUUGAGGUAAAGGAUGUUAUUUUCUUCUUAAAUGAUAUUAUUUUCUUCAAUAUCAUUAUGCCGAAAUAUUGGUGAACUUUUUAAUCAAAUUUGAAACUUUUUGUGUCGGGGUUACUAUUCACGUAUACAGUACUAUUCACGAAUACGGCACUAUUCACCGAAAAAUAAAAUUUUUUCUUUUUGUCCAAGAUGUCUAUUAUGGUUACUAUCUUUGAUUGUAUCCAUGUUUUGAUCGUUAUUUUUGAAUUCUGCUUCACAAUUGGUUAUUAUGAAGUAUUAUUGAUCUUGGAUAAACUGUUAUACGAAUCCCUAAUAUUUGUCCUUCUGUCUCACUGGAUUCGUUUUCUUUAAAAUAUUUUUCAUCAUCCUCAGUCCUAAAUGAUGAUAUUACUGAAUAUCUUUGGCCUGUAGUGCAAAGAUGAAUGAUUAACUGAUGAAUAUCUUUGGCCCGUAGUGCAAAGAUGAACAGGUGUUGAGAUGAACAUGACCAACUGGUGAUACAAAUGAAUAUCUUUGGCCUGUAGUGCAAAGAUGAAUAUUUGAUUAAAGAUGUAUAUUGAUUGAUGUUACAGGGAUAAAAUAUUGAUGAUGGACUUUUAAAUCUUAGAAGAUAGUAGAAUUCAUUCUCUACGUGACUCUUCUAAUGGAUUGUUGUUUCCGCUGCAUUUGUUGAUCUAAAACUUGUUGUCUAUUAUAUUCUAUCAGAUUUUUCCCUGUUGAAGACUAAUGAUAAUUUGUUGUAUAUUAUCUUAGUUAUAAUAUUCUUUACUGGGCUAGUUGAGCUCACCCUUUUUUUUUGUUCCAUUUUUUUUCUCAGGAGGUGAGAACAUAGCAGGAUCGAGUUGAGGUAUGGAGUAAUGGUUCUAGAAAGAUGUUUUAGCAGUUCUCACUAUUUCUGUAAAAUAAUGUAUGAAUAAUUGUAAUGAGGACUUAUUUGAGUGUUGAUAUUGUCUAGAAGACAAUAUUUAUAUUUAAACUCAC
rnacentral:lncRNA from 1 species